rnacentral:rRNA from 1 species
AUUGAACGCUGGCGGCAGGCCUAACACAUGCAAGUCGAGCGAGCGGCGGACGGGUGAGUAAUGUAUGGGGACUGCCCGAUAGAGGGGGAUAACUACUGGAAACGGUAGCUAAUACCGCAUACUAUCGGAUAACCCAUAUGGGAUUCUCUCGUAGGUGAGGUACUGGCUCACCUAGGCGACGAUCCCUAGCUGGUCUGAGAGGAUGAUCAGCUACACUGGGACUGAGAUACGGCCCAGACGCCUACGGAGGCAGGAGUGGGGAAUAUUGCACAAUGGGAGCAAGCCUGAUGCAGCCAUGCCGCGUGUAUGAAGAAGGCCUUAGGGUUUUAAAGUACUUUCAGUCGGGAGGCGUUACCGACAGAAGAAGCACCGGCUAACUCCGUGCCAGCAGCCGCGGUAAUUC